AUUUUCUCUGCUGUUCCUGUAAGUUUUUUUCCGUAAGUUAUAUUAUUUUUGAAAAAAAAAAUUCUGAAAUAUAAGCAAACAUAAAACUAAAAACUCUGUAAAAAUAGUUAACGUGAAAGCAACUUUUUGAUCAGAUUAUAGUUUUUACUUAUCUUGUAUUGUAUUAUAUGUAUUGCUAUUUAUUUUGCAAUAGAUGCUCACUUUUGCUUUUUUAAAUUUGCAGAAAAUGUUACCGGGAAAUAGAAUCAGGAAUCAGUCAAGUGGAUGUGCAAAUAGAAAGAGAAAGGAGAGAAAAGACGAGCUGAUAAAAUCUCAAGCCAAUUAGGGGGCAACAUGUUUUAAGUAUGCUUUAGGCGCUAUUUAAGUCCGGACCGGCACUGGUCUCAACUGAUGACAUUUGUGAAUUAGAGAGAUUUGUGUCUUAAAAGAACUUAUUGAGACAUAAAAGAAAGUGAUACAGACAUACUCAAAGAGCUUUAUUAUGCAAGAAACAGAAAUAAAGGAGAAAGCUUUAGAUUGCCUUCAAAAUCAAAAUGAUUCUAAAUUGAUAUUCAUAAAUGAAGGGGAAGCUGCCUUUAUAGCAGCAAAGUUAAUACACAUCUCAACAUUACACAAAUUUAUAGUAUCAAUCAUGAUAGGAACCCUAGAUAUUAUGGGCUGAUGGGCUUCGCUUGAUUACUUGGGCCUUGGCUCUAAUAUCAACAAGAGAGCUCGUCUCACUCACAAAUUCGAAAUAUGAAAUCUGAAACAAACUAAAGCAACAACACUGAAAUUUAUUCUGAAAAUAAAUUGUAACAGCAAACAUCCAGCUAAACAGAGUCUUUCUUCCCUCCACAACUCGUUGACUAACUGACUUCUUUGUCCAUGUCAUCAGUAUUUUGAUCUUCUGCUGCUUCCAUCAACUGUUUCCCGCGCUUCUUUUUCCUAUAAUAAGUCUUUAGAGGCGUAUGAAUACCCCCAUCCGCGAGACUGAGCAAGCAAGUCUGAUUUCAAGUCCUUCGCCAACACCCGUGAAUUGUCAUGAUCUAGCAAGUCUGUCCAAUGUAUCAACAAUUCCAAACCUCAUGUUUCGUUAUAGCGAGUUGCUAAGACAUAGUGAGUUUGUACCAAAAUCUCUACGACAUCCUUACUUACUGGAGGUAAUGCUGAAACUUGAUGAUGAGUGCCCAAAACUUUCCAUCACUAGUACUUCGGGAGUUAAAAAAAAAAUUUCAAUUUAUCAAGUUAAUUUUACUUCAGUGAUGGAUAUAGAAAAACAGAUGAAUGUAGAUCCUCCGGUUCAUGAGGUUUGGCAAUAAGAUAUGGAUUCAAAGGAGCUAAAUAGAAUACUAGCUAUGCGUGUACUACAGUACUGGUGAGGCUGACUUCAGGGACAAAAUAUUCCACAUAGGGAAUCACUUACAUAUUAAUUGAGAAUACAACAUUUUUUGUAGCCACGUAUCAUCACAAAAAUGGUUAUUAAAUUCUUUAAAAAAAUAGAUUGGUCCAUCUAAAUAUAUAAUAAUCUUUUUAUUAAACUAACCAUAAAUUUUUCAUUAAUGUUCUUCAUUAUUUCUUUAAAUAAAAUUUACGAAAUUACCUAAUAUGCUAAAAUAUAUAUAAUAAUUAAUGAUUUUAAAUAAUAAAGAUUUGAUAAAAAUUAGAAUAUCUUCUAUUAUAUUUGUUUUAUUUUAAACUAUUAAUACACAAGUUGAUAUUGAGCAAUUCAUAAAUUGUCAUGGUAUGAGAGCAUUGAUCCAAUUCUUUCAGAGUUCAUAUUGUUCUUGAGCUGUCUCUGUUUUCAUUCACGUAGAAUAGAGCCGCUUGUUCUUCAUUCUCAAACUCUUAUUGUUUCUCUCUCUCUCGUCUUUGAGUUCGAUUGUGCAAGAUGACAAACACAACCGGUGAACCAAAGAGGCGUACUAUCUCGCCCCGCCCUACGACCUAACAACAAACCGAUGCGGUGAUUUCAUCCAUGUUGUUUUACGAUGCGAAUUAUGAUGCGUAUGGCGCUAAGUUCACGCAGAAGUUUGGAUUUAUUUGUCAAUAAAUUUGUAGAUUAAUUAGAAUAUAAUAAGUUUAUGUAAUAUUUUGUGUAUAUUUUGCACUUGGAUAGUAGACUAAAUGUAUAUGUAAAAUUUCUCCUUAUGAAUAAUGAAUGACUCUCCGUAUCAUAAUUCGGCCACCUUACGUACAUCAAGAAACAGAUAAAACAUUUAUUAAAAUAAGAAUCUGGCUUUUUUUCCGUUGAUGAGUUUUAUCCUGGAGAAGUGAUAUAGAAUCUCUGCGAUGUCAAGAAUCAUAAUUCACGUCUCGUCGUGAAUGAGAAGGUAACGCUAUUUAAAUUUAGAUAUCCACACUAAAUUCACUUCCACACCGGCAGAUGUCGUUGUAUAAAUCAUUUUUUUUUACAGGGAUUGGACCUCAACGACGCUGCUUCCACAACACGCCUGGUAUGGAGUUGAGUUUGCUAUUGACAAUGGACAUGACAAUGCUACGUUUGUUGUGAACAACGAAAUUACGUAACUCACCAUAAAAGAUGCAGCCACACUCGCUCUAGAGAAGAUAAUGACGAUGAAGGAUACAAAUAUCUAAAUUGUCUUGGGGAUCUUGCUGGCAAACAGUAUCUUUUCCAGAUUUGGGUCAUCACUUUCAGGAUGGAUUUGGAGUCUCGAGACAAUAGGAGUCCUUGAUGCUCAAAGGGAUUAUAUGGACAUAAAUGUACUCUUUCUAUGGGAUUUCACUUUCUGAGUUUCAUAUGUAUUUUAUGUAAAUUUCAGAUUUUAAAUAUGUGCUAGAUACACAAAUCAGUUUCAUUACAUGUUAUUAAACAUGUGAAAUAAUUAAAACUGUUUUUAAUAACACGGUAUUUUAAAACAAAAAAUUAAAAGAAGAGUAAAAGCCGUCAAACCAAAAUAGAAGAAGAAAAAACGGGUCUAGACGGGCCUAAAUGAAUCUAAACGGGCCGUAUUAAAAUAAACUCGCUUAAAGUUAAACGGGCAUGUAAAUAAACGGUUUAACAUCCCAAUGAACAUUCAAGGUCAAAUAAACGGGCAUGUAUAGUCCGUUUUAACAUCCCAAAUGUCAUUCAAGGUUUCACACUUGGAAACUACUUUUGGACCCUCUUCCAUUAUUUAAAUGGCUGAAAUCAUACGGUAUCUAAUGAUUUUAUAACUACCGGCAAUGAAAACUCACAUCUAUUUGAAACCAACUGCACAACCCUUUCCGGUUUAAUCACUAUGAUGUCUGGGUGCAUAUCCCCCGCAAAAAGCGCGGGGUCGUUGACUUUGUUUUAGCUUUAUAUAAAUAUAAUUAAGUGAUGGCAUGCUUUUGUUUGGUCUUUGAUUCCCUAGGUUUUGAGUAUUGUAAUGUGAUUAAGGUUGUGUGAGUGAGUGUUUUUUUAAUUGUGUUUUGUUGCGGUGAUUCGUUUUCAUAGUUAUAGCAGAGCACCAUAUUUGGUGGUGUUUAUUUGGGUUCCUCGAUAAAUUAAUAAUGUUGAGACUUUGAAAUUUUAUUAAUUUAUAGAGAUAUUAACAUAAAUGUCAAAAACAGCCAAAAUAUAUUAGAUUACAAUAGAAGUUACAACUUAAUAUGUGAAAUUCUCAAGAGGCAAAACUAACAUAAAUGGACGACUUCUUAGAAGUCUACAGACGAGCUCUGUGGAUGUCGUCUGCGUUAAUGUUUAAUAAAAUUUCAUUCUCUCUAAGACUAUAAAGACGUUUUAACAUUUUCUAAUUAAUUCAUGUAUAUUAGUCGACAUUUGAGCUCUUGAAUGAAAUUCAUAACUAAAUUGGUUCUACGUUAGUUUUU